GGCUUUAUAGUCAAUAUAUGAUAUUAGAUUGCAAAUCUAAAGUAGUUAAAUACUAAGGCUU
rnacentral:tRNA from 1 species